AAUUUUUCCUUUCAUUUCCCCAAUUAGAAAAUGAGGAACCCUAGACCCAUCGCCACCGCCACCGCCAUUUCUCCUUCCUCGGCGUCGAUCAUCGCUCGCCGGGCCGCCGGAGCGUCGCCGCUCCAGUGUUCGUCGCCAUCCGUCGCCGAUGCCUCCUAUCGGCGGAUGCCCCACCGUCGUCAUCUCUUGCAGCGGCGACUCCAAAAUGGAGGCGAAUGCAGUGGCGCUCCCUUAGUCGCCGCCUCUGCGACUCUCUCUCCCUUCUCUCGUCGACAUCACAGGCCCGGACGGCACCGUCGCCUCGGCAACCUCCACCGUUCGCCGGCUCGCCUUCACGACGCUAGGGACACUCCGGCAACAACAGCGCCGCGCGCUCCGUCCCCACCUCCGGAUCGUACCCAGCUUCGCUCAAUAUCGCAAUUGCGUCUCUCUGGCCUUGCUCCGGGACCGUCGUUGUUCAGCCGACACCUCCUCGGCGUAGCCGGUUCGUCGCUGGCAGCCCUGUCGCGCCAUGGCCGUCGCCGGUGGCUCCCGCGUCGUCUCUCUAUUGGUUAAUGCACGACGGCACAGCGCCACCGCCCUCAUCCCUUUCGCCGCAUUGUUGCUGCCCCGCACGGCUCGUCGACGUCUCCGUGACGGCACAACACCAUCUCCGUCAUUUAGCCGGUGCUAAGCCAGCUACGGUAUCAAUCUCCUCAGCAAGCCGGAGUCGCCGGAUUCCGCCUCUUCGUCGGGCCCCGCUGCCGGACGUUCACUCAUUAAGCUAAGCCCCUCUAUCUAGUUACUACUUAAAUCAUUUGUGUCAAAAAAAGGGCAGUAGCUAAAUUAAACUUCCAAGUUAGAAGUCUUGUAUGGUAGCUUGCUGGGGUGAAUUCUUGAUCAACUUAAGCUCUUACUGUUUUUGUUCAUGAGGCUAACUAGUAUUUCCCGUUGUUACAACAGUUCUGUAGGUGUAAAUUUCUCGGGUUCUAAACAAGGAGGUUUUAAGCUUGUUACCGUUGUUUAUGAGGGAUUGUUAAACUUCUUCUAAAGUAAAGGGAAAGGCUUAUGCAGAUUGUGAUUUACGUUUUCUUUUUAUUAACUCUUACAUGAUGCCAUGUGAAAGAUUGAAAAAGAAGUGGAGGUGAAGAUACCUCUUUAUGUAGUUACUGCCUCGAGUUCUUGUUCCUAAGACAACCAGCUUUCUAACUCUCUAAAUUUGCUGAAUUCUUGUGGUGUGUGGGAGGGGGAAGUUUGAUGCAUAUGCAGGGGAUUUUAUAGCCAAGAAUCGCGUACUUGUGCAGCAUUUAUUUGAGUUGUUGUAUGCUUUGUUUCUUCCUGCAGAAGGUCUCUCUUUUUGGUUACUUGCAGCCACUUUUUCUGAUAAUCCGGAUGGUGUACUAGGAAAAGGACCGUUGCAUUUAUGUUGUUUGUUAGUCUCAUGGGUCUGUACAAAAACAGGGGCCGGUUGGGCAGGGAAUGGCCACUCUAGUUUAGGAGUUAAUUAAAGGCCUUGUCUUUUCCUCAUGUAGUCCUCGGUUGAGGGGCUGGAAUGCAGGGUGUACCUGCCAUAUUGGGCAAGGGAAAAGAACCGAUCAUGUCCGGCUGCCACCAUGAUGUUCCGGGCCCAACGGGCCGUCGAAAGGUCAGGCCGAAAUCCGGCCUAAGUAAGAGGCCCGAAGUUGGCGUUCCUAACGUUGUAAUAGGGUAGUGCUUUUCCAAGCUUUCUUUUAUUUCAAACAUGUAUGAAACAUCUUAUAAAAGUUAGAAUGUAUUAUUUUUCCUUCUUUUUCAUUAUCAUACCUUUUGUAAGCUAAGACAUAGUUCGGAAAGUAACACGUCGUAUUUUAUUUACUUAAGGAAUAAACGGACACAUUUCCAUUUUUA